UACGGAGGAUCCGAGCGUUAUCCGGAUUUAUUGGGUUUAAAGGGUGCGUAGGCGGUUAAUUAAGUCAGUGGUGAAAUCCUGGAGCUCAACUUCAGAACUGCCAUUGAUACUGGUUGACUUGAGUACAGACGAGGUUGGCGGAAUUGAUGGUGUAGCGGUGAAAUGCAUAGAUACCAUCAAGAACACCGAUUGCGAAGGCAGCUAACUAGGCUGUAACUGACGCUGAGGCACGAAAGUGUGGGGAUCAAACAGG
rnacentral:rRNA from 1 species